CGCCCUUAGAGUUUGAUCAUGGCUCAGAUUGAACGCUGGCGGCAGGCUUAACACAUGCAAGUCGAGCGGUAGGAGAGCUUGCUCUCUACGAGCGGCGGACGGGUGAGUAAUGUCUGGGAAACUGCCUGAUGGAGGGGGAUAACUACUGGAAACGGUAGCUAAUACCGCAUAACGUCGCAAGACCAAAGAGGUUCGUCUUGCCAUCAGAUGUGCCCAGAUGGGAUUAGCUAGUAGGUGGGGUAACGGCUCACCUAGGCGACGAUCCCUAGCUGGUCUGAGAGGAUGACCAGCCACACUGGAACUGAGACACGGUCCAGACUCCUACGGGAGGCAGCAGUGGGGAAUAUUGCACAAUGGGCGCAAGCCUGAUGCAGCCAUGCCGCGUGUAUGAGGAAAGCCUUCGGGUUGUAAAGUACUUUCAGCGAGGAGGAAGGCAUUAAGUAAUCUUGGUGAUUGACGUUACUCGAAGAAGAAGCACCGGCUAACUCCGUGCCAGCAGCCGCGGUAAUACGGAGGGUGCAAGCGUUAAUCGGAAUUACUGGGCGUAAGCG
rnacentral:rRNA from 1 species